AUGAACGCUGGCGGCGUGCUUAACCCAUGCAAGUCGAACGGAAAGGCCCAAGCUUGCUUGGGUACUCGAGUGGCGAACGGGUGAGUAACACGUGGGUGAUCUGCCCUGCACUUCGGGAUAAGCCUGGGAAACUGGGUCUAAUACCGGAUAGGACCACAUUUUGGAUGGUGUGGUGGAAAGUUUUUCGGUGUGGGAUGAGCUCGCGGCCUAUCAGCUUGUUGGUGGGGUAAUGGCCUACCAAGGCGUCGACGGGUAGCCGGCCUGAGAGGGUGUACGGCCACAUUGGGACUGAGAUACGGCCCAGACUCCUACGGGAGGCAGCAGUGGGGAAUAUUGCACAAUGGGCGCAAGCCUGAUGCAGCGACGCCGCGUGGGGGAUGACGGCCUUCGGGUUGUAAACUCCUUUCGCUAGGGACGAAGCGUUAUGUGACGGUACCUGGAGAAGAAGCACCGGCUAACUACGUG
rnacentral:rRNA from 1 species